GUACUUACCCGGGAGGGGAGAUACCAUGACCACGAAGGUGGCUUUCCCAAGGCGAGGCUUGUCCAUUGCACCCCGGAUGUGCUGACCCCUGUGAUUUCCCAAAUGUGGGAAAUGGCUGCAUAAUUUGUGGUAGUGGAAGAAAAAAAUAAAUAAAAGUAAAAAUAAAUUAGACCCUCUG
rnacentral:snRNA from 1 species